GUUGUCGUGGCCGAGUGGUUAAGGCGAUAGCCUAGAAAGCUAUUGGGGUCUCCCCGCGCAGGUUCGAACCCUGCCGACAACG
rfam:Strongylocentrotus purpuratus Contig16402_fixed, whole genome shotgun sequence.